UUCACUGAUGAAUUUUCCACAGGGCCUUUUUUCUUGAGUUCUGUCAGCUUAAUCUGUGCUGUUUCCACCUUUUCCCCAUUCAAACUUGACUUGUUUACAGGUUUGGUUUUUUAGCAAUAAAAGGCUAGUGGAUUUGUGGCUCUUGAAUCUAUCUCAUCGUUGGCUUUCAGUGCAAAGCCUGCCCCAAAUGCAUAAUUUGCCAUUAUUUCCAAAGAUGUUCAGUUUAUUCCUUUUUUUGCCAGACAUAUAAAAGAGCUCUUUG
rnacentral:lncRNA from 1 species